GUUUGAUCCUGGCUCAGGACGAACGCUGGCGGCGUGCCUAACACAUGCAAGUCGAGCGAUGAAGUUUCCUUCGGGAAACGGAUUAGCGGCGGACGGGUGAGUAACACGUGGGUAACCUGCCUCAUAGAGGGGAAUAGCCUUCCGAAAGGAAGAUUAAUACCGCAUAACAUUGCAGUUUCGCAUGAAACAGCAAUUAAAGGAGCAAUCCGCUAUGAGAUGGACCCGCGGCGCAUUAGCUAGUUGGUAAGGUAAUGGCUUACCAAGGCGACGAUGCGUAGCCGACCUGAGAGGGUGAUCGGCCACAUUGGGACUGAGACACGGCCCAGACUCCUACGGGAGGCAGCAGUGGGGAAUAUUGCCCAAUGGGGGAAACCCUGAUGCAGCAACGCCGCGUGAGUGAUGACGGUCUUCGGAUUGUAAAGCUCUGUCUUUGGGGACGAUAAUGACGGUACCCAAGGAGGAAGCCACGGCUAA
rnacentral:rRNA from 1 species